GCGCUGCGACGGCUCAGUCGGUAGGGCAUGAGUCUCUCAAUCUCAAGGCUGUGGGUUUGAGCCCCAUGUUGGGCA